CCUACGGGAGGCAGCAGUGAGGAAUAUUGGUCAAUGGGCGUAAGCCUGAACCCGCCAAGUCGCGUGAGGGAUGAAGGUUCUAUGGAUCGUAAACCUCUUUUAUAAGGGAAUAAAGUGUGGGACGUGUCCUGUUUUGUAUGUACCUUAUGAAUAAGGAUCGGCUAACUCCGUGCCAGCAGCCGCGGUAAUACGGAGGAUCCGAGCGUUGUCCGUAUUUAUUGGGUUUAAAGGGUGCGUAGGCGGCCUCUUAAGUCAGCGGUGAAAGUCUGUGGCUCAACCAUAGAAUUGCCGUUGAAACUGGGAGGCUUGAGUAUGUUUGAGGCAGGCGGAAUGCGUGGUGUAGCGGUGAAAUGCUUAGAUAUCACGCAGAACCCCGAGUGCGAAGGCAGCCUGCCAAGCCAUGACUGACGCUGAUGCACGAAAGCGUGGGGAUCAAACAGGAUUAGAUACCCCAGUAGUC
rnacentral:rRNA from 1 species